rnacentral:rRNA from 1 species
UACGGGGGGGGGCAAGCGUUGUUCGGAAUUACUGGGCGUAAAGGGCUUGUAGGUGGCCAACUAAGUCAGACGUGAAAUCCCUCGGCUUAACCGGGGAACUGCGUCUGAUACUGGAUGGCUUGAGUGUGGGAGAGGGGAUGCGGAAUUCCAGGUGUAGCGGUGAAAAUGCGCAGAUAUCAGGAGGAACACCGGUGGCGAAGGCGGGGUCUCUGGGGCCGAUACUGACGCUGAGGAGCGAAAAGCGUGGGGGGAGCGAAACAGGGAUUUAGAAAACCCCCCGGUAGUCCCAGACCCA